AUGUUUCUCACAAUAACAGCAGGUACAGAAGAUAAAGAAAAAUCAAGAAAAGAAGAGCAAAAAAAACAGAAAAAGAAUAUUCGUAACAACCUUCUCUACACUGCAUUUUCCUUGCCUUUGCUUCUUCAACGACCACAUCAAUUUGCAAAUGCGUCACAACUUCGCAUCACAACUUCAUACCAUAAUUGUGUCGUAACUACACCAUACCGCAAUGACUUCCUACCAAUAACAACUCCUCUUUCAACAAGAACAACAAUGCAAAGAGCGCAUCAACACAAUCGCAGAAAUUCACAUGGGAAGAUUAAUCAUGAAUUUACAAGACCAUCUGAAUCGGAAGUGUAA